CCUACGGGGGGCAGCAGUGAGGAAUAUUGGUCAAUGGGCGAGAGCCUGAACCAGCCAAGUCGCGUGAGGGAGUACUGCCCUAUGGGUUGUAAACCUCUUUUGUCGGGGAGCAAAAGCCGGACGUGUCCGGCUGUGAGAGUACCCGAAGAAAAAGCAUCUGCUAACUCCGUGCCAGCAGCCGCGGUAAUACGGAGGAUGCGAGCGUUAUCCGGAUUUAUUGGGUUUUAAGGGUGCGCAGGCGGAUUUUUAAGUCAGCGGUAAAAUCGUGGGGCUCAACCCCAUCCAGCCGUUGAACCUGGGGAUCUAGAGUGUGCGAGAGGUAUGCGGAAUGCGUGGUGUAGCGGUGAAAUGCAUAGAUAUCACGCAGAACCCCGAUUGCGAAGGCAGCAUACCGGUGCACAACUGACGCUCAGGCACGAAAGCGUGGGUAUCGAACAGGAUUAGAUACCCCAGUAGUC
rnacentral:rRNA from 1 species